UUCUAUGUAUUGCCUCGUAUUUAUGUGUUAAUCUUGGCUCUCCUGCUGAUGAUAGCUGGCCUAGCAAAUUAUUUUAUUUUGCUGAAAAUAGCUUGAAACCUUGGUUCAGGAUAUAGACGCAUACCAAAGCAUAGACAGAAACAUGGAAAGUAAAGACCCCCCACCCCCAAGGUCGUUGAUGACCAUUGGAUUGCACCUAGAGAGUUCCCCUCCGAGGCACAGUCCGGGCAAGGUUGUUCUACGGAAGACCAGCAGUCACCCAUGCAUACCAGCCUCCCCUCUCCACGCCGCUGAUGUUAUCCAAGAGAAUGGCAAAGGCUGAUACAACUUUGCAUCAGUGACAACGUCGCAAAUCAUUCUUGCAGCUGAGUGAACUUGGACUACAUGAAAUAAAGUGCCUUGCUCAAGAACACAACACAUAACUCUGUCCGGGAAUCGGAAUGACUACCUCAUGAUUGUGAGCUCACCGCUCUAACCACUGAGCCAUACGCCAUCACAGAUAGAAAUAUAUAGAAACACAUCAAACCCCUAGAUGUAGGCAUAUGUCUAUUUAUGUAUUUAUGUAUGUAUGUAUGUAUGUAUGUAUGUAUGUAUCACAUCCCUUUGAAAAAGGGAUAUUGUUAGAAACGUCAUAAAUGACUUCUUUUUUAUUUUCUGUUUUAAACUAAUUAUGUUGGUCGUGAAUUCAUAUUGCUGUUGUCCGUAUUUUUUUCUUGUUUGGCCAUCUCCCACUCUCUCUCCCCACUCUCUCGCCCCACUCUCUGUCUUCUGUUCUUUUCCACUCUCUGUCUCUCCCCCUCUCUCUCUACUCCCUUCCUCUCUCCUCUAAUAUACAUGUGUGUGAGUAUGUAUGUGGACGCACACACAACUACAUGCUUAUGUAUAUAUUUGCGCAUUGAACUAUAUAUGUAUAUGCAUGAGUGUGUAUAUGUGUUUGCGUGUGUGUGUGAGAGAGAGAGGGGAGAAAGAGAGAGGGGAGAAAGAGAGAGAGAGACAGACAGACAGACAGAGAGAGAGAGAGAAAGAAAUAGCGAAAGGAAGAAAACGAAGGAGAGUUAUUUGCAAACGCUUAAAUAAUUUUUCUCCUCUGACGUCUAAUUCUACUUCUUGUCCAAAUUCAUGGACUGUUUUAGAAUAACUGUUUGCUUCAAAAACGAGAAGAUUCAAACAAGUCCAUGAAAAAAAAUAAUCUUCAAAUGUUUCACUCAUCUCAGAGAAAAUACCAAUAAUAGGAACUGCACACAGAGACGUGUAAUAUGUGAAGUAGUGCUGAUAAAUUAAACAGUAUCGAAGCUAAGUAAAGACUGCAUCUACCCAAGGUUAUAUUGCAAAAUUACGCAAUAUCUGGAAUAUUCAAAUAAUUAUGUUAAAAUAUUUAGCAGUAAAAAAAUCAAUCCAAUUCAUUAAAAUGGUAACUUCAGAA